AGAGUUUGAUUAUGGCUCAGGACUUUCGCUGGCGGCGUGCUUAACACAUGCAAGUCGAACGACCCUCUACCGACGGAACUUUUCGGAGGGAAGAUGGUAAUGACUGAGUGGCGGACGGGUGAGUAACGCGUGGGCAACCCGCCCCAUGGAGGGGGACAACAGCUGGAAACGGCUGCUAAUACCGCAUAUCAAGGAGAGAGCGCAUGUUCUUUUCUUCAAAGAUUUAUCGCUAUGGGAUGGACCCGCGUCUGAUUAGCUGGUUGGUGAGGUAACGGCUCACCAAGGCGACGAUCAGUAGCCGGCUUGAGAGAGUGGACGGCCACAUUGGGACUGAGACACGGCCCAUACUCCUACGGGAGGCAGCAGUGGGGAAUAUUGCACAAUGGGGGAAACCCUGAUGCAGCGACGCCGCGGGAAUGAAGAAGUAUUUCGGUAUGUAAAGCUCUAUCAGCAGGGAAGAUAAUGACGGUACCUGACUAACAAGCCCCGGCUAACUACGUGCCAGCAGCCGCGGUAAUACGUAGGGGGCAAGCGUUAUCCGGAUUUACUGGGUGUAAAGGGAGCGUAGGUGGCAGGGCAAGUCAGAUGUGAUAACCCGGGGCUCAACCCCGGGAGUGUAUUUGAAUCUGUCCAUCUGGAGUGCACGAUAGGUGACCGGAAUUCCCACUGUAGCGGUGAAUUUGCAUAUAUAUUAAGAGGAACCCCAAUGUCUAAAGCAGCUUACUGGUAUUAAACCCGAAAUAGAUGCUCUAAAGUUCGUUUACCACCUAAGAUUAAAUACCCCGGUUCUCCCCU
rnacentral:rRNA from 1 species